rnacentral:rRNA from 1 species
CCACCACAGAAGGUAAUAGUCCUGUAUGUUAAACGAGAAGACUUCAGAUAUGAUCCAGAGUACCACGGGACACGUGAAACCCUGUGGGAAGCAGGAGGGACCCCCCUCCAAGGCUAAAUACUACCUAGUGACCGAUAGCGUAUAGUACCGUGAGGGAAAGGUGAAAAGAACCCCGGGAGGGGAGUGAAAUAGAACCUGAAACCCUGCACUUACAAG